rnacentral:lncRNA from 1 species
GCACCAAGUGCCAGUUAGUGAGCUGAGAGGUUCACAUAAGGUACAAGUGGAAGGCUCACCUUCAAAUUUGAGAGUUUGAAAAUGGGAAACCUGAACUGCUGUUCUGGAGUGCAUUUCCCAGGAUGUUUUGCCCAGAAGACCAGAAGAAACAUUCCUCAGAGAUCAAGAACAUCCACUACCAGCUGGGUCAGGAGGUUUCGUAGUUGGCCACGAAACAGGCUGCACCCUACAACUGACACAGUUGAAGAGCUCCCUGAGGACCAGCUGGAGGAGCUAUCCAAUUCAAAGUUGGAGGAAGAGGCUUUGCCCACCUCUGUGGUAAGUGCUCCUUAUUUAUCUGAGAUAAAAGUGUUGCUUUAUGACUUUACUUUUUUGCUGAAUUCAGAUAAAGUUUCAAAAUAUUCAAGACAGCUGAUAUGGUUUUUAAUUUG